GGCCGCGGGAAUUCGAUUCAGGCCUAACACAUGCAAGUCGAACGGAAAGGCCCUGCUUGCAGGGUACUCGAGUGGCGAACGGGUGAGUAACACGUGGGUGAUCUGCCCUGCACUUCGGGAUAAGCCUGGGAAACUGGGUCUAAUACCGGAUAGGACCAUCGUUUAGUGUCGGUGGUGGAAAGUUUUUCGGUGCAGGAUGAGCUCGCGGCCUAUCAGCUUGUUGGUGGGGUAAUGGCCUACCAAGGCGUCGACGGGUAGCCGGCCUGAGAGGGUGGACGGCCACAUUGGGACUGAGACACGGCCCAGACUCCUACGGGAGGCAGCAGUGGGGAAUAUUGCACAAUGAGGGCAAGCCUGAUGCAGCGACGCCGCGUGGGGGAUGAAGACCGUCGGGUUGUAAACUCCUUUCAACCAUGACGAAGCAUUAUGGACGGUA
rnacentral:rRNA from 1 species